rnacentral:rRNA from 1 species
CGAACGCUGGCGGCGUGCCUAACACAUGCAAGUCAAGGAGAAAGUUUCCUUCGGGAAGCGAUUAAACUGGCGAACGGGUGAGUAACGCGUAGAUAAUCUGCCCCAAUCUCAGACAUAACUUCGAGAAAUCGAUGCUAAUAUCUGAUGAGGUGCAUGCAUCAAAGACUUCGGUUGGAUUGGGAUGAGUCUGCGUCUGAUUAGCUUGUUGGUGAGGUAACGGCUCACCAAGGCUGCGAUCAGUAGCUGGUCUGAGAGGAUGGUCAGCCACACUGGAACUGAGACACGGUCCAGACUCCUACGGGAGGCAGCAGUGAGGAAUAUUGGUCAAUGGGGGAAACCCUGAACCAGCGACGCCGCGUGUGGGAUGAAGGAGCUUCGCUCUGUAAACCACUGUCGAGAGGGAAGAAAACCCCACUUAGUGGGAUGGGACAGUACCUCUAAAGGAAGGAUCGGCUAACUAC